CAAUAUAGUCAAUAGAUACGACAAAGAUCCAAAGCAAAAUUAUAACCACUGAUACUAAGCAUCAGAUAAAAGAUAUCAUAUCAUCAUAUACUUAGCACAAAUCAUGAAGUAUUUGCUCAUCGCAGCCAAUAUGGUUCUGUUUAGAUUGAUUACACGACCCUCAAUCACAUGUAUCAUGUACGACUACCAUAGCCAUUAUGGUUCUAUUAGGUCAUGCAUUACACUAUUACAGUUCACGGUUGGAUUCAACACUGUAGCCCGUAGUUUAGAACGCCGAUCCAAAUAUAUGAUGAUCAUCAAAAUAGAUAUAUAAUUCUAUAAACAAAUUAAAAGAUCGGUAAACUUCAAUUGCAAAUGAGGUUUCAAUACAUGUCGAUCAACACUCUGCUGCAACUGGUAGAGGCCAAAGCUCUGUGACCUUUUGCUGAUUAGUAAUCUUUGACUGCACUGUAAACAGGAGAGGUCAUGAGUAUUGUUGUUAAGAGGACCAAGAAAUUCAGAUACACAUGAUAGGUCAUCAAAUUUCAACUUUUCUGUCUCAGUGCAAGAUAACAUUCAAACAGUUGUGUUUAGCAUCAUUCUUAGGUGGUAUGACAUCCAUAUGAAGAUAAAAAAAAGUUCACACAAAAACAAGAAAAUCAAGAGGUAGUAUAAACUGGAGGUAGUAUUAAGUAUAGCAGCAGGAAUUAGAUGGUGGCAAAUAUGAAAGGGUAUGUACAAACAGCAACACAGCCACAAUCAACACCCCUCGUGCAUGUGGAACUUUGCUUCAUAAAUAUUGUGACCUCAUAAAUAUAGUUCAAAGCACCCCUCAUGCAUGUGGAACACAACCACAAUCUCUAGUUCAAAUCUAUGAUCGGUUCUAACUUUCUAUGCCAUUCUACCUCUUAAGAAACCUAUUUUUUUUCUCUCCUGGAAUCCUGGAACUUUGCUUCAUAAAUAUUGUGACCUCCUUAAUAUGUGUUCAAAUUGAUCGACUUACUGAAGACCUAGUAUUUUAAAUUAGAAUAAUCACAUGUAGAUGUAGUUGUCCAAACAUGAAUUGCAAGGCAUAUGCUACAUCUCUCCAUUUUGUGUCAGAUGUGAAAGUCACAAAAAGGUCAGAAGGGCCAAGAUUGCAUGUAUCCGUUUGGUGUUCUUCACUAAUUUUCUAUCUAAUCAAGAAGAAAAAACCUAGCAGGAAAAUGCAGUCAGCUGGAAAGUUCUUAUAGGUAAUGCCGCUUGGGGAGAGCGGGAAAAUUAGAUAAAUGUAUCCAUCAAUAUAUCUAUUUUACCAACUUACAUGACCACAACAAAAGACCAUAAAAUUAUUACAUAAUUACAUUUACUAUUCACAGCAUGACAAUGGCACAUGAAACUGCGCGUGCGACAUUCAUAGGUCCUAAAAAUGAGUGAAACAUGGGGAGGAAGAGGGAGAUGUGGGAUUUCAGAAUAGCUAAAAGUGGAACUAAAAUCAUCAUGGAAAAUAGCGUCCGGUCAAUAUUAAUAGAUUGUAAAUACAAAUUUAAUAGUAAUGAGGGCACACAUGAACUGUAAUCAGUGAAAAAGAAAGUAAAAUACGCCUAUGAGAAAGAUGAGGCUCAAAUUCCUACUCCAGUUGUAUCCUUAAAAGUUAAAUAUACCUACUUCAAUUAAGUCUAGCGUAUUCUCUAACCUACCUACUCAAUAACUUAAGGUAUGCAGCUAACUCGAACUUCCAGAUCCAGUCGAUGCAACUAUCUGUAAAAUUGGUUUGCAUACUAUCUAUGACAAAUAGUCAUAACAAUGAUGAAGAUAAGCAGACAGUUUUUACAACAACUUUGAACUGUAAAGAAUGUUUUCCCUCUAAUAAUAAUCUGACCAAAACAUAAUUGAAAGAGAGUUCUUGCAGCUGGUUAUUUCUUAGGAUUUCACAAUACAGGACACAUCUUUUUGUAGCUCUCAUCAAGGAAACCAGUGUGAAAUUGGAUCUAUGAAAAAUAUCUGAAAGACCUCCAUACUCUGCUCAAACAAAAUGCAAUGAAUAUCAAUAUCGAAUGUGUAUCUACACAUGGUAGGCCUCCAUAUUCUCUUUCAUACAAAUAACUCCCAAUGCAAAUUUCCUAUGAAGCAUUCUAUCAAACAAAUGGCGAGCACCAGGCUUGACAAAGAAAUUUAUCGAUAUUGGCAGAGUAAUAAUUUAGCUAACCGGUGGGUCAUAGGAGGAUUAUUCAACAGAUAAAAUCAUGGAAGGUUGUGAACUUACAGAUAAGUGAAAAACAGUCAUGUUGCUGACACGGGAGUUGAGGUUGAUGUCAUCAAUGGUGUCUCUGUCAGCAUGCUCAAGUGCAUUGCUGCAUGUCACCAAACAGAAAUUCAAAAUGCCAAAAGCAAAGGUAUUAUACAAAUAAUGCAGUCCACGCAUGUACAAGAACAUGACGACAGGGCUCAUAAUCAAGGUCGCUCUCAUAUUAGAAAAAAAAAUCCAAAAUUGGAGUAAAAUGGUGACCGUGGGUGUUGUUUCAUUCGAUAUAUAUCAAUUUCCAAGAAACCAAAAGUUAUUUGCAAUGGGAUCAUUUAAAAAAUCCAUCUAUUAGAUUGUACUUAUUUAAGCCAUUAUGGUAUGGUAUACAAGUAAACAUUGUCAAGAGUACAAAAUUUAAUGCAUGACAUGACAUAGAGCUACAAACUUAGUGCUGACAAGCAGAUAACUUCCACAAGGCAAAUCCAGUGGUGAGCUAGGGCAUGCUAAAACACAGCAUAUUUUCCACCAUGAGAACAGGUUUCUAGUUAUGUCAAGAAGCUUGAGACAUGAAACAUGCAAAACAUCAUUGUGCAAAGUAUGUUGUGUGUUAGCAUACAUCUCAUCUGCUCCAACCAUUAGCCUCCAUUAUUUUAGUAUAAUAACUCAGAGUUGGGGCAUACUAACAAGCAGCAUGCUUUCCAGAAGUAUGAUAUGUGUUAGCAUACAUCUCACCAUGAGAAGAGAUUUCUAGUUAUGCCUAGGGGUAUUAAUUGUGAAUACUAAAAAAUGCCACUGCUUUCCACAAGUAAGAACUGCUCCAUUUCCUUCAAUACUAUAUGGCUUAUACGUAAUGAACAUGGCGAUCAUAAGAUAAUAUUCACUUAUAACCAAACUCUUUAGUUGAUCUGGCGAUACGAUUGACCUAACUCCUUUGUAUGUAAUAGUUGCACUAAUCAACUCAUUAGAGCUAUCUGGCUCAAAAAAACUCAUUAGAGCUAUCAAGCCUCUAUUGAACUUUGUCACAUACAUCUCAUCUGAAUGAACUCUUAUUAAAAAAUCAAAGUAUUACGUCACAAAAAUAAAUUAUGAGCUUCAUAAAAAAAUUAUGAAGGCAAAUUCAAGGAGGUGUUAGAACAGUGAACACUGCACUAAUCUUGUUCCUCAUUGUGAAAUCCUAGAUGAGGUAGAGGCGGAACUGGAAUCAUAAAAUCCAAUCUAUGAAGUAGGAUGAGAGAAGUCCAAAAUUCAUAGCGAACGAUUUCCUCACAGUGCAAAAACCUGCAACUCACCAGGCAAAAGUUGAGAUCUAGCUUGUCGAUGUGCUCCUCGCCGCUAGAUCUCUCAGAGUUUGCCGAAGAUGAACACCACCCCCUCAAUUGCACGACACAUCCACGACACCUAAAUCGACAUAUGAAGAAAGGCAAGCCACCACUUGGGGCCGCCGGAAUCCUAGUGAGCUAAUGGCACCUCGAAGCGCCAUGGAUCCAGGGAGGUUAAUCCUCCCUACGCGCUCGAAGUCGCCGCCUCCAUCACAGCUACCUCCCUCGCUCCCAGCAGCAGAGAGAGACAGGAUAGAAAUAGAGAGAAGGGGGAAAGAAGAUAGGAGGGAGAGAGCGCCGGACGGAAGAUGAGGUCGAGAUCGAAGGAGAAGUACCCCACUCGCAGGAGCGCGUCCGCCGGGGCCGCGCUCGCCCGGCGAACCAUGCCGGACCGAGCCGCGCCUCGUGGUUUGUGGAGGAGGGGGAGGAGAACGACGACAAGCCAAGAUGCGCGCGUGGGCGGCAUGGAAAGAGGAAUGAGGGGAUUAGGGUUCGACC
rnacentral:lncRNA from 1 species